rnacentral:lncRNA from 1 species
GUGAUGGAGGGGUGGCAUCAGCAGGCAGUGGGGACCCCUUCUGUAGCUGCACUGGGUAGCACCAGGCAGCACAGGGAGAGUAGGGGAGGCUGCACUGCUGAGGAGGGAUUGGCAUGGCCGUCUGAGGGAUGCUGUGAGCUAUGCCAUGGGCCUCACGUGCAUGUCUUAAUAUCCUUUUGUAAAAUAUUUGAAACAGUAGGGAGUUGGAUGCUUAGCUUUCAUUACUCUUAUUCAAGAAAAUACUUAAAGUGUGA